AUGGCGGCCAUCAGUUUAAGCCAGGAAUUUGCUAGUCCAGUAGCAGCGGCCAGGUUGUUCAAGGCCUUGAUCCUAGACUCCCACAACCUCAUCCCCAAGCUCAUGCCUCAGGCCAUUAAGAGCAUCGAAAUCAUCCACGGCGAUGGAGGCGAAGGAAGCAUCAAGCAGAUCAAUUUUGCUGAGGGUAAUUAAUGAAUUAACCACACAUGUAGACUUUAUUAAAAUAAUCAAUCACAUUUCUCUCUGUCAUAUUUAAUUCAAUAACAUAUGCAUGAUAUGCAGGUACUCGUUACAAGUACAUGAAGAACAGAAUAGACAUCCUGGACGUCGAGAAUUUGGUAUGCAAGUACACACUGAUUGAAGGAGACGUGUUGGAGGACAAGAUUAAGUCUAUUGCUUACGAGGUGAGGUUUGAGGCUUCUCCUAAUGGUGGUUGUACUUGCAAGAUGAUGAGUGAGUACCAGGCUGCUGGUGACUUUGAGAUCAAUGAGGAAGAAAUCAGGGGUGGCAAAGAAAGAGCAAUGGGCAUGUACAAGGUUGUUGAAGCUUACCUCUUCGAAAGUCCUGGUGCCUACGAAUAG
rnacentral:lncRNA from 1 species